rnacentral:rRNA from 1 species
AUUGAUUUUAUGCUUGCAUAAAUGAUUUUUGGAUUCGGAGCGAGCGGCGAACUGGUGAGUAACACGUGGGUAACCUGCCCCAAAGCGGGGGAUAACAUUUGGAAACAAGUGCUAAUACCGCAUAAUUAGUUGGAACCGCAUGGUUCCAACUUGAAAGAUGGCUCUGCUAUCACUUUGGGAUGGACCCGCGCCGUAUUAGUUAGUUGGUGAGAUAAAAGCCCACCAAGACGAUGAUACGUAGCCGACCUGAGAGGGUAAUCGGCCACAUUGGGACUGAGACACGGCCCAGACUCCUACGGGAGGCAGCAGUAGGGAAUCUUCCACAAUGGACGAAAGUCUGAUGGAGCAACGCCGCGUGAGUGAUGAAGGUUUUCGGAUCGUAAAACUCUGUUGUUAAAGAAGAACAAGUGUUAGAGUAACUGUUAACACUUUGACGGUAUUUAACCAGAAAGCCACGGCUAACUACGUGCCAGCAGCCGCGGUAAUACGUAGGUGGCAAGCGUUGUCCGGAUUUAUUGGGCAUAAAGCGAGCGCAGGCGGUUUUGUAAGUCUGCUGUGAAAGCCCUCAGCUCAACUGAGGAAGUGCAGUGGAAACUACAAAACUUGAGUACAGAAGAGGAAAGUGGAACUCCAUGUGUAGCGGUGAAAUGCGUAGAUAUAUGGAAGAACACCAGUGGCGAAGGCGGCUUUCUGGUCUGUUACUGACGCUGAGGCUCGAAAGCAUGGGUAGCGAACAGGAUUAGAUACCCUGGUAGUCCAUGCCGUAAACGAUGAAUACUAGGUGUUGGAGGGUUUCCGCCCUUCAGUGCCGCAGCUAACGCAUUAAGUAUUCCGCCUGGGGAGUACGACCGCAAGGUUGAAACUCAAAGGAAUUGACGGGGGCCCGCACAAGUGGUGGAGCAUGUGGUUUAAUUCGAUGCUACGCGAAGAACCUUACCAGCUCUUGACAUCUUCUGCCAACCCAAGAGAUUGGGCGUUCCCUUCGGGGACAGAAUGACAGGUGGUGCAUGGUUGUCGUCAGCUCGUGUCGUGAGAUGUUGGGUUAAGUCCCGCAACGAGCGCAACCCUUAUUAUUAGUUGCCAGCAUUUAGUUGGACACUCUAGUGAGACUGCCGGUGAUAAA